CGUGCAUCGUGCUUCUCUAAUUGGAGUUUCACAACAAUAGCGGCACUGAAUUUGGUGGUGGAAUGCUUCAUAUCAACGUUGGCUUUUGAGUUUGCUAUUUUACCACUUGACUGUGAACUUCAAUCAUUCUUCUGAUUUUUUUGAUUUUUCAAAAAGAAGAAAAAAAGCAUGGAACGGGGAGGGGGCAGAGUUCGUUAACGCGCGCAGAAGCUUUCAUCUUCAGCGACAUCGAUCGCACAUGCAAGCAAUCAUCUCUCGCUGAGUUCAGCCACCGGACUGGGAAUCAUCGGACAGGAUCACACAUCAUCGCAUGCAUCUUCCUCUGGGUUCAGAGUUCAGCCACGAGAUCGCACAGCCACCUCACAGCCAGAGACACCGUCGCAUUCGUCUUCUUCUCAGUCCGAGGUUCGACGCUCUCUGUUCAGUCCAACGCACACACAAAAACGCAGAUGCUCCUCUCUCGGUCACAGAGUUGGACGCGCAGAAAUUGAUCACACACGCCACCGUUCAUUUCCUCUCAGUCACAGAGCUCAGUCGCACUCCACGGCAGAACCUUCUCUCUUGAUUUCAGUUCUCUAUCUUACCUCAUUCCCGUCGCUCAUCCAGUCAGACUCGCUCAUCUCACGGAUUCCUUCAAGCAUACUUCCAUAGCAUCUUCUUGUGGACGUCUCCCUCAAUUAGUUGUUGAAGAGAUCAGGAUGAGGAGCUGAAUAUUUUUUUUUUUUUUUUGAGUUCUUCAGGAAAAUGAAACUUUCAUUUGAAUUUCCUUAAUUACUUUCCAAUUCGGUUCUUUUGCAAUUCACCUCUGAGUUCUCUAUUUUUAUUGUUGCUAUUGACUUAAUGAUUCAUGGUUGAUUUCAUUCCUUAAGAAAUUUAGAUACUAAGAAUUGACUCUUUAA